GUGAGGAAUAUUGGUCAAUGGGCGAAAGCCUGAACCAGCCAUGUCGCGUGAAGGAUGAAGGUCCUAUGGAUUGUAAACUUCUUUUGCAGGAGGGUAAAGUGAGCUACGUGUAGUUCAUUGCAAGUACCCUGCGAAUAAGCAUCGGCUAACUCCGUGCCAGCAGCCGCGGUAAUACGGAGGAUGCGAGCGUUAUCCGGAUUUAUUGGGUUUAAAGGGUGCGUAGGCGGACUAAUUAGUCAGCGGUGAAAUUUUGCGGAUCAACCGUAAAACUGCCGUUGAAACUGUUAGUCUUUAGUGCGGUAGAGGUAGGCGGAAUGUGUGGUGUAGCUGUGAAAUGCUUAGAUAUCACACAGAACACCGAUUGCGUAGGCAGCUUACUGGAGCGCAACUGACGCUGAGGCACGAAAGCGUGGGGAUCGAACAGGAUUAGAAACCCCUGUAGUCC
rnacentral:rRNA from 1 species